CCGGGAGGACGGGAAAUCAUCUCUCUCUCCCUCUCCGGCUCUCCGCCGUUCCACUUCCACCCUCAUCCCCGCCGCCGCCACGCCAUCCCCGGCCGCCGCCGCCGCGGUCCAGCCAUGCUCCACCUCCAGAAACACCUCAUCCUCCUCUCCCUCCCUCCCCGGGCCACCACGUCCACUACCACACUCCUCUCCUUCCGCCACCAAUGCCUCUUCUCCUUCGCGCGGUUCGCCGCCUCCACCCCCGCCGUGGCGGCGGCGGCGGCGGGUAAGUCCGCCCCCUUCGCCGUCGAGGACUACCUCGUCGCCUCCUGCCACCUCACCCCUGACCAGGCUACCAAGGCCUCCAAGGCCAUCUCGCACCUCAAGUCCCCGUCCAGGCCCGACGCCGUCGUCGCCUUCCUCGACGGCCUCGGCCUCUCCAACGCCGACAUCGCCGCCGCCGUCUCGUACGACCCGCGCCUCCUCUGCACGGAGGUCGACAGGACCCUCGCCCCGCGCCUCGCCGAGCUGACGGACCUCGGGUUCUCCCCCUCGCAGAUUGUGCGCCUCUUCCUGGUCGACCCCACCCGCUUCCGCCGCCCCACCGUCAUCUCCAAGCUGCAGUACUACGCACAGAUGUUCGGCUCCUUCGAGAGCCUCCUCCAUGCGCUGAAGAAAAACACCUACCUCCUCAGCUCAGACCUCGAGAAGGUGGUCAAGCCCAACGUCGCGAUUCUCCGUGAGUGCGGUCUAGGUGCUUGUGAUAUUGCCAAGCUGUGCAUCCCGUUGCCGAGGUUGCUCACCACCAACCCAGAGCGUGUCCGAGGUAUGGUGGCUCAAGCAGAGCACAUUGGGGUGCACCGUGGCUCCAAGAUGUUCAGGCACGCUGUUUUUGCGGUGGCGUUUAUCAGCGAGGAAAAGAUCGCGGCCAAAAUGCAGUUCUUGAAGAAGACAUUUAGGUGGUCAGACGCUGAGGUGAGGAUUGCAGUGUCGAAGCUGCCUGUGGUGCUGAGGAACUCAGAGGACAGGCUGAGCCGUGUGUCUGAAUUCCUGAUGUCUGAGGCCGGGUUGGAGCCAGCAUACAUUGCUUACAGGCCGGCAAUGCUCACUUAUAGCCUGGAACGCCGGCUCAUGCCCCGUUACUGCGUUUUGAAGUAUCUAAAGGACAAUGGAUUGGUAGAGUCUGACAGAGGCUACUACAGCGCAUUCCAGGUGAGCGAGGAGGUCUUCAUGGAUAAGUACAUAAGUCCUUACAAGGACACUGUGCUGCGCCUAGCUGAAGACUAUGCUGCUGCAUACAGAGGAAAUAUACCCGCUAGAUUCAGAUUGAAAGGACCAAAAACAGGCCAUGCAAGUACGCCAACUGUCUAAUUCUUGCCACCAAGUAGUGAGCCGUUAUGAGCCGGUUCAUCAUUUUGUCACAUGCCGUGGCCGUGUGCAUAUUGUUCAUGCCAAUGGCUCAUUCAUCUGUGUGUUGUAUGAAAUUACCAAUGAUGAUUCAAUGAGCCGUCGCCGUAACCCAUCUUGCGGACGACGCUGGACAUGAAGACCUCUACUGGCCGCAUGCUGGCCCC